CACGAAUUCUGAGAUCUCCCAGUUCCUGGAAGUAAAUAUUUACCACAGAGUCCAAGAACAAAUGUAUUGGAUGAACUUUUGCUAGCUCCCUGCAGACAAGAACGCAUGUGUCAGCUCUCUAUGAGCUGAGGGGUGAAAAAAUAUUUUAACCAUUUUGUUAAAUUAAGCUAAGGUGUGGAAGGUUUUAGAGCAGGGGUCGGCAACCUUUCAGAAGUGAAUAGGUGCAACAUGGAUAGUGACAUUGGCUGAGCAGUAUGGAAGAAGUUGUAAUGUAUUUCAAUCCCAUCCUGGAAGGACCACAUCUAUGGGAGAGAAGAUGACACCAAUCUGGGAAGGUUGCUAGCACUUUGGAGGACAAGAGUAAAAUUCAAA